GUGACUGAGUGUGUGACAGAAAAUAAAUUGUUUUUGUGUUAUUUAGAGGGAAAUGCGUGCAUUUUAGCUUUUCAAAUGUUGUUAAAAGUUCCAAAUACAUUUUUAAAGUAGCUAAAUUUGUUGCUAGGUGCUGUUUGAAAAAAACGUUGCCAGGGUAGUCUUAAAAAAAAGCAGGAAAGUAUUAGUAUGGAGUUGGGUAUAUCUUCGGGACAGAAUUGUCGUGUUGAAUUAGCAGGUUAGGAGGAAGGAGUCGCAAUCAUUAUAGUGAAUACAGUAGGCAUCCAGGCUGAUUCGUUUGGAUUGGAGGAGCUGUUGAGCUGUUCUUAUCAACAUUGAGCCGGCGUGUUAGACGUUUCUGUUGUUGUGUUACUGAGAGGCUGUCUGUUUGUUUUGUCUGCAGAUCAUUCUGGGGGAAACGGGAGCAGUUGGACAUGAGAUCAUUUCCUGGGCGGCUGGCUAUGUAUUUUACAGUCUCAAACCCGAUAUCCGCACUUGCAUACUACGUUGUAUGUGAUUAUGUAUUGGCCAUGCAUGCAAAGUAGAAAACACUGACCAAAUAACUACUCACAAAAUUGUUUUGUUUCCCCACAACUCACAAAACUGUUCUUGAGACACUAAAAACAGGCACUUAAAACGCAUGGAAAACAUGACGGUUUACUUGUCAUAAUUGUGUCAGUAGCUAACUUAGGUUUCCAUCCAAUUGUCGACAGGUUUUCAUGCAAAUAUUCUAAAAUCUGCGUAAAGUAUUUUCCCACCAGUGUUGUGUUUCUAAUUGCUGUAAUUACAGUAAUGGCACUGAUUAUGUAUUGUACGCCAAAUUUAUUUUUCCGUUUAUGUUUUAAUAAAUAUUCAAACUGUUUCCAUCGCAUUUUCAACUCCACCGAUAGUUUUGUCACACAAACUGUUGUGUUAAAUAGCAAAUGUUCCUACUCUGGUCUUUGCAUGUGUGCUCUAGCCAACAGCUCGCACAAACGCUGCGGCUAGGCUAGUCGACAUGAUGAUAUUAUUAUGGAGAAGAGCAAGAUUAUUUUUAUUUACAAAACGGCAGUCAAGCUUCAAUCAUCAUGCCACCAGAAUAAGACCCUCGAUAUCUAUUGGAAAGGAGAUCACUGUGUACUUUCAACACCCUGUGAAGUUCCCCAUCAUUUAUUUAAUCUGUAGUCUAAUAAACUGUAUGGUUUCCCGAGUCAUAGUGGGAAGACCACACACCAUAUCCUUGUGACUCCAAAUUGACUUUGGCAUGAUGGCUAUUAUAUUAAUAUUUCUGCAUAAAGGUGUUUCCACCACCAUUUCUUUCAUAAUUCAUAUUACAGACACAAAAAGAUCUCACCAUGUCAACAAAAUUGUAUAUGGUAUGACUUUACUUAACUGGAUAGAAGCGUGGUUUAUGCGUCUUAUCUGUGCAUUACUUUUAAUUUGAGUUUCUUCUCCUUUAAAGGGAAGACCUGCACAAAAUAGAUGCCAUGUUUUUUUGCCCACCAGAGGGCAGAAGCCUGCAUGACAAGGGCUCUGCCUGCCUCCUUUGGAAUCUACUUGUACUGCUGUUCAGCCAAAAUGGAGUAGGUGAACAUCUCUUCACGCUCUUAUAUUAGGUGAAACCCCUUUCUCUUAUUGCUCUUGAAAUAUCACAAAUUGGCCAAGAUGGCCCAAACUACACGCAACAAACAUCUAUUGUUAUCCCAGUCUGUGGAAGUUGGAUUAUCAGCAUUAUCUGUGAAGCGCUGUGCCCACCCACAAACUCAUUCUAACAUUACCCUUUUUUUAAAAUCUCCAUGGAUUCAUUCAGCGUAUUGUUGGCUCAGACAUGGCAGAGCUGCUGAUGAGGAACUCUCAGGGACAAUAUGGUUCAGGAGGCAGUGAAGGCUCAGAGGCCCCUACCCUAAUAGAUCUGAGCGAGGGCCCCAGUCCUGAGACAAACGCCUUGGAUGGAGCAGACCUACUAACAGGGGCAGCCACUAGUGUCUGUAUAGCUGAGUUCACAGAGAAGGAUAUGCAGGGAUACGCCAAGCUUCUCCUGUCUGGACGGAAGAAGGUCAGGGUAAACUCUCUGUUCCUGUCUCAGUUUGUCGGUCUGUGUCUUUCUCUUUUUUGGUCUCGCUCCUCACUGUUCCCCUCUCUAUUUAUAUCAGAGAUAUUUAGUAAGAUUAAUGGUAAAGUAAUCUCCUAUGUAUUCUGAGAGUAAUAGAUGGUGUAUGACACUGAUUAAAACCACAAAGACAGCAUAGUUGACACAUUACUGUCUGACUAAUGUUACACCAGGACUAUCCUCUUACUCCUCCAACACUAACCCCUGACACUGUGUUCUUCUGCAACCCUUCCACGUCUCCUCCAUGUUCUUUCACACCUCCUUCACCCCUGCCCUAUGCCUCCAUCAUAACUCCUAAUUUCUCCACCAGAUACUUUAGACUCACAGAUCCCCCUCUGCUAGCUCUCCCACAUGUCCCUUACACCUCCCCAUGCCUCCCCACGUCUCCCCCCACAGUUCCUUCACACCUCCCCCACACCUUCCCAUCGUUCCUUCACGCCUUCCCAUGCCUCCCUCCACGCCUCAUUCACAUCUCCUCCACAUCACCUUUAUGGUUCUUUCGCAUGAGGCCCUAGAGUCGGCCAUGAAGAGUGGACUGUGGGGACACGCACUGUGUGGAACAGGUUUGCAGACCAGCUAGCUCCCAGCGAUCCGCUUCAGACCCUUUUUCAGCUGCUCUCUGGGAGGAUCCCUGCUGUUUCCAUGAUGCUAUGGUUAAAACGCAUGCAUUUGCUUAGAUGGGGAGCUGCGGUUGUAGUGAAACAUACCUGUCACCAGCAGAGGGCCAAUGAGGAGAGCAGAGUAUAUUCAGAAUCAGGCACCGGUGACCUUUCAGUGAGGGGUGAUGCACGUGCUGGCACAGCAGAUCAACGUCCCACCUCUGCUGCCAGUCAUGGCUUCUUACACUCAGCUUGCAGUGCCCCUUGUGGCAGGAGGUCAGGACUACAGUUACCACAACACAGACACUGUCUAUGCUCAGCUUCAGCAUCAGCGUCCUUAAGCCACGUUAGAGGCUGAUCAUUCUUCUGGCCCAGGCAUGACACAAACAUCAAAAGUGCCAUCCUGGGAAAGAGUGCAAGGACGUCAGGUGUCAAUGUUAUUUCUUCUUUCUUCUCUUAUUAACAUACUAGGACGUGAUUAUAGCCUAUUCCCCAGGUCGUUGCUGUAAAUGAGAAUGUUUUCUCAGUCAACUUACCUGGUUGAAUAGUGGUAAAAUAAAAAAUUAUUAAAAAGAAAAGCCUCAUUUAUACCUGGUGCAAACAUGAAUCCUUUGUCCUGAUCUUGUCCACAUGAUGAUUGUGCCCACAUUUUCAGAUAUGCACCUACACAUUAAAAGGUGUCUUAUUUGUCCACUGUGUCAGCAUUGUGACCAGAUUUUCUGGUCCCUCCCUGUAUGCUAAAUUUUUUGACGGAUAUUCUUUCAAAAUAACAUUUAUUUAUUUAUUUUAAGACACCAGUGCUGCCUCCUCAGAGGAGGAGGGGAGGACCAUCCUACUCAGUGAAUUUCGGGAAAGUUUUUAAAUAGUUACACAUAAAGAAGUUCUCCUUUUUAGAUAAAACUACACAAAAUAUAUCCACUUGACCAAAAAACUGAUUAAAACACACUGUUUUGAAACGAAAGUCUACAGUAUUCUCAACAGCACCCUCUGGGGUAGCAUUAUGGUGUAGCCGGAGGACAUCCUCCUCUGGGUACAUUGACUUCAAUACAAAAACCUAGGAGGCUCAUGGUUCUAACCCCUUCCAUAGACUUGCACAGUAAUUAUGAAAACUUGUAGAGGACAGAGC